rnacentral:rRNA from 1 species
UGAGGAAUAUUGGGCAAUGCCCGCAAGGGUGACCCAGCAACGCCGCGUGGAGGAUGAAUGUCGUAAGAUUGUAAACUCCUGUUAGAGGGGAAGAAUAGUACCGGUUGGACCGGUAUAUGACUGUACCCUCAGAGAAAGCCCCGGCUAACUACGUGCCAGCAGCCGCGGUAAUACGUAGGGGGCAAGCGUUGUCCGGAUUUACUGGGUGUAAAGGGCGCGCAGGCGGGCUAAAAAGUCAGUGGUGAAAGCCUACAGCUUAACUGUAGAACUGCCUUUGAUACUUUUAUUCUUGAGUUCGGGAGAGAGAGACGGAAUUCCAGGUGUAGUGGUGAAAUACGUAGAUAUCUGGAAGAACACCAGUUGCGAAGGCGGUCUCUUGGUCCGACACUGACGCUGAGGCGCGAAAGCGUGGGGAGCAAACA